rnacentral:rRNA from 1 species
GAUGAACGCUGGCGGCGUGCCUAAUACAUGCAAGUCGAGCGAACGGACGAGAAGCUUGCUUCUCUGAUGUUAGCGGCGGACGGGUGAGUAACACGUGGAUAACCUACCUAUAAGACUGGGAUAACUUCGGGAAACCGGAGCUAAUACCGGAUAAUAUUUUGAACCGCAUGGUUCAAAAGUGAAAGACGGUCUUACUGUCACUUAUAGAUGGAUCCGCGCUGCAUUAGCUAGUUGGUAAGGUAACGGCUUACCAAGGCAACGAUGCAUAGCCGACCUGAGAGGGUGAUCGGCCACACUGGAACUGAGACACGGUCCAGACUCCUACGGGAGGCAGCAGUAGGGAAUCUUCCGCAAUGGGCGAAAGCCUGACGGAGCAACGCCGCGUGAGUGAUGAAGGUCUUCGGAUCGUAAAACUCUGUUAUUAGGGAAGAACAUAUGUGUAAGUAACUGUGCACAUCUUGACGGUACCUAAUCAGAAAGCCACGGCUAACUACGUGCCAGCAGCCGCGGUAAUACGUAGGUGGCAAGCGUUAUCCGGAAUUAUUGGGCGUAAAGCGCGCGUAGGCGGUUUUUUAAGUCUGAUGUGAAAGCCCACGGCUCAACCGUGGAGGGUCAUUGGAAACUGGAAAACUUGAGUGCAGAAGAGGAAAGUGGAAUUCCAUGUGUAGCGGUGAAAUGCGCAGAGAUAUGGAGGAACACCAGUGGCGAGGGCGACUUUCUGGUCUGUAACUGACGCCGAUGUGCGAAAGCGUGGGGAUCAAACAGGAUUAGAUACCCUGGUAGUCCACGCCGUAAACGAUGAGUGCUAAGUGUUAGGGGGUUUCCGCCCCUUUGUGCUGCAGCUAACGCAUUAAGCACUCCGCCUGGGGAGUACGACCGCAAGGUUGAAACUCAAAGGAAUUGACGGGGACCCGCACAAGCGGUGGAGCAUGUGGUUUAAUUCGAAGCAACGCGAAGAACCUUACCAAAUCUUGACAUCCUUUGACAACUCUAGAGAUAGAGCCUUCCCCUUCGGGGGACAAAGUGACAGGUGGUGCAUGGUUGUCGUCAGCUCGUGUCGUGAGAUGUUGGGUUAAGUCCCGCAACGAGCGCAACCCUUAAGCUUAGUUGCCAUCAUUAAGUUGGGCACUCUAAGUUGACUGCCGGUGACAAACCGGAGGAAGGUGGGGAUGACGUCAAAUCAUCAUGCCCCUUAUGAUUUGGGCUACACACGUGCUACAAUGGACAAUACAAAGGGCAGCGAAACCGCGAGGUCAAGCAAAUCCCAUAAAGUUGUUCUCAGUUCGGAUUGUAGUCUGCAACUCGACUACAUGAAGCUGGAAUCGCUAGUAAUCGUAGAUCAGCAUGCUACGGUGAAUACGUUCCCGGGUCU